AUAGAGUCUGAGGUGUAUGCAGAAUUCCAGCGGAUCACAAACCAGAACUUGCGCAACAUAUUCUAUGCAGAGCUUGAUCGUCACAUCCCACGCUUGAUGACCUUGUUUAGGCAGAAGGCAUCCAAAACUGGAAAGAUUGCAGAUUCUUUGGCUGGCAUUUUGAAAGUCCAUGACGAACAGGAAUUACAUGAUAUACACACAAAACGUACAACUGUUCUCCAUGCACUUCCUGUGUUUCUG